CAGUAGCCGCGGUAAUACGUAGGUCCCGAGCGUUGUCCGGAUUUAUUGGGCGUAAAGCGAGCGCAGGCGGUUAGAUAAGUCUGAAGUUAAAGGCUGUGGCUUAACCAUAGUACGCCUUGGAAACUGUUUAACUUGAGCGCAGAAGGGGAGAGUGGAAUUCCAUGUGUAGCGGUGAAAUGCGUAGAUAUAUGGAGGAACACCGGUGGCGAAAGCGGCUCACUGGUCUGUAACUGACGCUGAGGCUCGAAAGCGUGGGGAGCGAACAGGAUUAGAUACCCCCGUAGUCCCUGUCUCUUAUACC
rnacentral:rRNA from 1 species